rnacentral:rRNA from 1 species
AGCAGUCGCGGUAAUUCCAGCUCCAAUAGCGUAUAUUAAAGUUGUUGCAGUUAAAAAGCUCGUAGUUGAAUUUCGGGAUCAAUACGUCGGUCGUGCUUUUUGGUACGUACUGGCGUUAUUGGUUUCUCCCUUCUAACGAACCAUGAUGUUAUUAAUUUGGUGUUAUGGGGAAUUAGGACUAUUACUUUGAAAAAAUUAGAGUGUUUAAAGCAAGCUAACGCUUGAAUACAUUAGCAUGGAAUAAUGAAAUAGGACGUUCGAUCCUAUUUUGUUGGUUUCUAGGAUUGACGUAAUGAUUAAUAGGGAUAGUUGGGGGCAUUAGUAUUCAAUUGUCAGAGGUGAAAUUCUUGGAUUUAUUGAAGACUAACUACUGCGAAAGCAUUUGCCAAGGAUGUUUUCAUUAAUCAAGAACGAAAGUUAGGGGAUCGAAGACGAUCAGAUACCGUCGUAGUCUUAACCAUAAACUAUGCCGACUAGGGAUCGGAUGAUGUUAAUUUUUAAUGACUCAUUUCGGCGCCUU